GAAGAGUAUUGACAAAGUUAUGUCUUAAUUUAUAGGACAUUUUUAUGACUGAAAUUAGAUAACCCUUAAAAUAGAAAACUAGACAUCUGUCUUUAAUAAGAAAUGCUAACACUAAGAAUAAAGGGAUAUAGAAACCUAAGACUUCCCUCACAUGAUAACAUCUUGCUAAAGGAAAUAGAAAUCAUGUGGUUAAAAAAGAAAAAAAAGGAAGAAGGAAAGAAGGAAGGAAGGGAGGAAAGAAGGAAGGAAUGAAGGAAGGGAAAAUAUUUGCAAUCUUAUCUGUAGAGUCACUGUCUGCAGAUUAUUCUCAGCACACCAAAGAAGAGAGAAAGAG
rnacentral:lncRNA from 10 species